CAUGCAAAUCCGAGGACCGUGCUAAGAAUUGUCAGAUCUUGUGAUGAGUCAAUUAUUUCAGAGGACUCUACAUCUUCUGGUGGAAGUGAAUUGACGUAAAGCAGUCACUUCAUGAAUCACCCAUCAAUUAAAUUCUCCGAGAGGCAUGGAAUCUGGAAUUGUUCUAACACAAUGUUAGAUGGUGAGGGAGUAGUUCAUUUAAAAUAAGGUGAACUUCGACUUCAGGAUGAGCUCAUAGUCUAUGCCCCUUUUGUGUUGUGGUGCUCAUGUGGAAUUCAAAUUUUAAUGGGGAGUACUGUGGUUACUGGAAAAGAACAAAAGAAAAAAAAUGCAUGGUACGGUGGCAGCAACCAGUGUGCAGGAGACAACUAGUUGUGCAGCAGCAUUGGUGUAAUGCUACAGCUAGCUGCUGAUAGUGUGAAAUGUGAAUGUGAACCAGAACCUUGCAGCUUAGCAGCUUACUAGAUGUUAUUCCUUAUCCUUUAUGAAAGCUAAUGAGGGACGAGCAGAAGGGUCUCUAUUCUCUUCUUACUCUGUGCUUCAACGUGUUGCUGCAUGAUCGCAAUUUUCUCUUGAGUGAUAUCACUAGAACGAUAGGGGGCUGCCUUUUGCCAAUUUUUAUUGCCAUUUUGCUGUUUUGCCUUUGCCUCUUUCCUACUAUGGAAGUUUUCUUUGUGCUUUAGCAUGAAGUUCUUUCUGAUAACGUGGGAUGUGCUUUCUUUUGUGUUCUAAGUGUGCCCAAGCAACCAAAA